GAGUAAAUGUCGUAAGAAGCGUGUGCGAUUUCGGCUCGUGAGGUGAAUAAAUUUCUUUACUUU
rnacentral:tRNA from 1 species